AGCAAAAUGAUGUGAUUAUGUAUCUGAAAUUUAUGUUGAAUCAUCUACAAACCUAAUGGUCUUCAAAGUUAUCUGAUUGCU